rnacentral:sRNA from 2 species
UGACAAGGUGGCUAGGGUUCCGACCGCGCGAGCGGUGCUGGUCCGAGAGCUGCCGGUUCCCUGCCUGCGCGGCACGGAGCUACACGGAGGGAUAAAAGCCCGGGAGGA